rnacentral:rRNA from 1 species
GAUGAACGCUGGCGGCGUGCCUAAUACAUGCAAGUCGAGCGAAUGGAUUAAGGGCUUGCUCUUAUGAAGUUAGCGGCGGACGGGUGAGUAACACGUGGGUAACCUGCCCAUAAGACUGGGAUAACUCCGGGAAACCGGGGCUAAUACCGGAUAACAUUUUGAACCGCGUGGUUCGAAAUUGAAAGGCGGCUUCGGCUGUCACUUAUGGAUGGACCCGCGUCGCAUUAGCUAGUUGGUGAGGUAACGGCUCACCAAGGCAACGAUGCGUAGCCGACCUGAGAGGGUGAUCGGCCACACUGGGACUGAGACACGGCCCAGACUCCUACGGGAGGCAGCAGUAGGGAAUCUUCCGCAAUGGACGAAAGUCUGACGGAGCAACGCCGCGUGAGUGAUGAAGGCUUUCGGGUCGUAAAACUCUGUUGUUAGGGAAGAACAAGUGCUAGUUGAAUAAGCUGACACCUUGACGGUACCUAACCAGAAAGCCACGGCUAACUACGUGCCAGCCGCCGCGGUAA